rnacentral:rRNA from 1 species
AUGCACAUCCACAUCUUUGUCACCAUGGCGGCUCAGCUAGUGGCAGCACUCUCAUCUCCACAAGCACUAUCGCUCUAUCUCCUGCUCGUCCCUCUCCUCCUCCUCUACUACUCGGCAACAACAAGAACGAGACCGGCCAUCGAGCAAGCUGCGCCGGCAGGCCAUGGCGAAGAGCGCCCCCUUCCUUCGCCUCCGAGCAAGCUCCCUCUCAUCGGCCACCUCCACCUCAUCGGCACCGACCCCCACGUCUCCCUCGCGGCGCUCACCGCCCAGCACGGCGACGGCGGGCUCCUGCUCCUUCACCUGGGCCAGGUGCGCAACCUCGUGGUCACCACCCCGGGCGCCGCGGAGGCGGUCCUGCGCACGCACGACCACGUCUUCGCGUCACGCCCGCAGAACGCGUUCGCCGACGCGCUCCUCGACGGCUCCGACAUCGCCUUCGCCCCCUACGGCGAGUUCUGGCGCCAGCUGAGGCGGCUGGUCACCACGCACCUGCUCAGCGCCAGGAAGGUGCUCUCGCUCCGCGCCGGCCGCGAGGAAGAGGCGCGCCUGGCCAUGGCCAAGAUCGGCGACGCCGCGGCCGCCGGUGCCUCUGUGGACGUGUCCACGCUGCUCGCCACCUUCACCAACGACAUCGCGUGCCGCGCCGUGUCGGGCAAGUUCUUCCGGGAGGAAGGGCGGAACGAGCUGUUCCGGGAGGUGAUCGACGGCAACGUCGCCGCGUUUGGCGGGUUCAACCCGCAGGAUUACUUCCCGAGCCUGGCCAAGGUGGACGCUCUGGCGCGGGUGCUGUUCCCCAAGAUGACUCGGCUGAGGAAGAGGUGGGACGGGCUGCUCGACAGGAUCAUCGACGACCAUGCCAGCAAAGCUGCAUCGCUGCAGCAAGAAGAAGAUGAGGAGGCAGACUUCGUGGAUGUUCUCCUUGCUCGUCAACACGAGUACGGUCUCACUAGGCAGCAUAUCAAGGCCAUUUUGGUGGACAUGUUUGUAGCUGGGACAGACACGUCAUACGUAGUCCUAGAGUUCGCCAUGGCGGAGCUCAUGCGAAAGCCACACCUCAUGGCCAAACUCCAAGCCGAGGUGAGGGACAAGACACCCAAGGGCCAACCAAUGGUCAUGGAGGACGACUUGGGCGGCAUGCCCUACCUAAAGGCUGUCUUGAAGGAGACGCUCCGGCUACACCCGCCAUUGCCCCUCCUCCUCCCGCACUUCUCCGUGGACAGGUGCAUCAUCAACGGCUACACGGUCCCCGCAGAAACCCGCGUCAUCAUCAAUGUGUGGGCUAUCGGCAGAGACCCUGGGUCGUGGGAGGAUGCGGAAGAGUUCAUCCCUGAGAGAUUCGAGGACGUCGCGUCCCCCGAGUACAAGGGGAGGGAUUUCGGGAUCCUGCCGUUUGGAGCCGGGCGAAGGAUAUGUCCCGGGAUAAACUUUGGCAUGGCGUCCGUGGAGAUUAUGCUCGCCAACCUUGCCUAUUGCUUUGAUUGGGAGCUCCUGGGUGGAAUGCAGCAUAAGGACCUUGAUAUGUCAGAGGUGUUUGGAAUGACGAUACACCGGAAGGAGAAGCUAUUUCUAGUCCCAACAACACGAGAUGUUAAUCAUGAAUAA